rnacentral:rRNA from 1 species
AUUGAACGCUGGCGGCAGGCCUAACACAUGCAAGUCGAACGAUUGGCGGACGGGUGAGCAAUGUCUGGGAACCUGCCUGAUGUAGGGGGAUAACUUCUGGAAACGGUAGCUAAUACCGCAUACCAUCGGAUGUGCACAGCUGGGAUUAGCUAGUAGUUGGGGUACAGGCUCACCUAGGCGACGAUCCCUAGCUGGUCUGCGAGGAUGACCAGCGACACUGGAACUGAGACCCGGUCCAGACUCCUACGGGAGGCAGCAGUGGGGAAUAUUGCACAAUGGGCGCAAGCCUGAUGCAGCCCUGCCGCGUGUAUGAAGAAGGCCUUCGGGUUGUAAAGUACUUUCAGCGGGGAGGCGUUACCCGCAGAAGAAGCACCGGCUAACUCCGUGCCAGCAGCCGCGGUAAUUC